UACGAAGGGGGCUAGCGUUGCUCGGAAUCACUGGGCGUAAGGCGCACGUAGGCGGCUUUUUAAGUCAGGGGUGAAAUCCUGGAGCUCAACUCCAGAACUGCCUUUGAUACUGGGAGCUCGAGUCCGGGAGAGGUGAGUGGAACUCCGAGUGUAGAGGUGAAAUUCGUAGAUAUUCGGAAGAACACCAGUGGCGAAGGCGGCUCACUGGCCCGGUACUGACGCUGAGGUGCGAAAGCGUGGGGAGCGAACAGG
rnacentral:rRNA from 1 species